rnacentral:rRNA from 1 species
AGCGAGAAGGGAGCAAUCCCCGGUAAAGCGGCGCACGGGUGAGUAACACGUAGGUAAUCUGCCUCUGAGUGGGGGAUAACCUUCCGAAAAGGAGGGCUAAUACCGCAUGAGACCACGCCUUCGAGAGGAGGAGGGGUCAAAGCCGGCCACUAUACAUAAGCUGGCGCUUGGAGAUGAGCCUGCGGCCCAUCAGCUAGUUGGUAGGGUAAUGGCCUACCAAGGCGUAGACGGGUAGCUGGUCUGAGAGGAUGAUCAGCCACACUGGAACUGAGACACGGUCCAGACUCCUACGGGAGGCAGCAGUGGGGAAUCUUGCGCAAUGGGCGAAAGCCUGACGCAGCGACGCCGCGUGAGUGAUGAAGGCCUUCGGGUUGUAAAGCUCUGUGGAGGGGAAGAAUAAGGGUGACCCAACACGUCGCCCGAUGACGGUACCCCUUUAGCAAGCACCGGCUAACUCUGUGCCAGCAGCCGCGGUAAGACAGAGGGUCGCAAACGUUGUUCGGAAUUACUGGGC